rnacentral:rRNA from 1 species
GCCAAACCGUAAAAAAUUAACUCACACCACAAACGCCAGGGUACUACGAGCCUAGCUUGAAACCCAAAGGACUUGACGGUGUUCCACCCAACUAGAGGAGCCUGUCCUGUAAUCGAUGAUCCACGAUACACCCAACCAUUUCUUGCUUAUCAGCCUGUAUACCUCCGUCGCAAGCUUGCCAUAUGAAUGUACAAAAGCGGGCUAAAUGGCCAAACGCCAAAACGUCAGGUCAAGGUGCAGCUUAUGAAACGGUAGAGAUGAGCUACAAUUUCUAUUAUAGAACAAACGAAUUACUACAUGAAAUAUAGUCAUGAAGGUGGAUUUAGAAGUAAGUAGGAAAUAGAGAGUCCUACUGAACUCGGCUCUGGAACGUGU